GGAUCGAAAGACCUUAUGCUUUAAGAGCGGCCGAUGUCUGAUUAGCUAGUUGGUAAGGUAAUGGCUUACCAAGGCGACGAUCAGUAGUUGGUCUGAGAGGACGACCAGCCACACUGGGACUGAGACACGGCCCAGACUCCUACGGGAGGCAGCAGUGGGGAAUUUUGGACAAUGGGCGCAAGCCUGAUCUAGCAAUGCCGCGUGAGUGAAGAAGGCCUUCGGGUUGUAAAGCUCUUUCAGUCGAGAAGAAAAAAUUGUGAUUAAUAAUCAUAAUUGAUGACGGUAUCGACAGAAGAAGCACCGGCUAACUACGUGCCAGCAGCCGCGGUAAUACGUAGGGUGCGAGCGUUAAUCGGAAUUACUGGGCGUAAAGGGUGCGCAGGCGGUUUUGUAAGUCAGAUGUGAAAUCCCCGGGCUUAACCUGGGAAUUGCGUUUGA
rnacentral:rRNA from 1 species